rnacentral:tRNA from 1 species
AGGGAUAUAACUCAGCGGUAGAGUGUCACCUUGACCUGAUGGAAGGCAUCAGUUCGAUCCUGAUUAUCCUUG